rnacentral:rRNA from 1 species
AUUGAACGCUGGCGGCAGGCCUAACACAUGCAAGUCGAGCGGAUGAAGGGAGCUUGCUCCUGGAUUAAGCGGCGGACGGGUGAGUAAUGCCUAGGAAUCUGCCUGGUAGUGGGGGAUAACGUCCGGAAACGGGCGCUAAUACCGCAUACGUCCUGAGGGAGAAAGUGGGGGAUCUUCGGACCUCACGCUAUCAGAUGAGCCUAGGUCGGAUUAGCUAGUUGGUGGGGUAAAGGCCUACCAAGGCGACGAUCCGUAACUGGUCUGAGAGGAUGAUCAGGCACACUGGAACUGAGACACGGUCCAGACUCCUACGGGAGGCAGCAGUGGGGAAUAUUGGACAAUGGGCGAAAGCCUGAUCCAGCCAUGCCGCGUGUGUGAAGAAGGUCUUCGGAUUGUAAAACACUUUAAGUUGGGAGGAAGGGCAGUAAGUUAAUACCUUGCUGUUUUGACGUUACCAACAGAAUAAGCACCGGCUAACUUCGUG